rnacentral:rRNA from 1 species
GACGAACCGAGCGAACGUUGUUCGGAAUCACUGGGCUUAAAGGGCGCGUAGGCGGGCCGCCGCGUCCGGGGUGAAAUCCUCCCGCUCAACGGGAGAACGGCCUCGGAUACGGGCGGCCUGGAGGGGGGUAGGGGCGUGCGGAACUGUGGGUGGAGCGGUGAAAUGCGUUGAUAUCCACAGGAACUCCGGUGGCGAAGGCGGCACGCUGGACCCCACCUGACGCUGAGGCGCGAAAGCGUGGGGAGCAAACAGG